rnacentral:rRNA from 1 species
AUGGUAGGAUAGAGGCCUACCAUGGUGGUAGCGGGUAACGGGGUGUUAGGGCACGACACCGGAGAGGGAGCCUGAGAAACGGCUACCACAUCCAAGGAAGGCAGCAGGCGCGCAAAUUACCCAAUCCCGACACGGGGAGGUAGUGACAAUAAAUAACAAUACAGGGUUCUUUGAAUCUUGUAAUUGGAAUGAGUACAAUUUAAAUCUCUUAACGAGGAACAAUUGGAGGGCAAGUCUGGUGCCAGCAGCCGCGGUAAUUCCAGCUCCAAUAGCGUAUAUUAAAGUUGUUGCAGUUAAAAAGCUCGUAGUUGAAUUUCGGGAUCAAUACGUCGGUCGUGCUUUCGGGUACGUACUGGCGUCAUUGGUUUCUCCUUUCUGACGAACCAUGAUGUCAUUAAUUUGGUGUUAUGGGGAGUUAGGACUGUUACUUUGAAAAAAUUAGAGUGUUUAAAGCAGGCAUUAGCUUGAAUACAUUAGCAUGGAAUAAUGAAAUAGGACGUUCGAUCCUAUUUUGUUGGUUUCUAGGAUCAACGUAAUGAUCAAUAGGGAUAGUUGGGGGCAUUAGUAUUCAAUUGUCAGAGGUGAAAUUCUUGGAUUUAUUGAAGACUAACUACUGCGAAAGCAUUUGCCAAGGAUGUUUUCAUUAAUCAAGAACGAAAGUUAGGGGAUCGAAGACGAUCAGAUACCGUCGUAGUCUUAACCAUAAACUAUGCCGACUAGGGAUCGGAUGAUGUUAAUUUUUUAAUGACUCAUUCGGCGCCUUACGGGAAACCAAAGUGUUUGGG